rnacentral:rRNA from 1 species
GAUGAACGCUGGCGGCGUGCCUAAUACAUGCAAGUCGAACGCAUAGCGAAAGGUGCUUGCACCUUUCAAGUGAGUGGCGAACGGGUGAGUAACACGUGGACAACCUGCCUCAAGGCUGGGGAUAACAUUUGGAAACAGAUGCUAAUACCGAAUAAACCUUAGUGUCGCAUGACACAAAGUUAAAAGGCGCUUCUGCGUCACCUAGAGCUGGAUCCGCGGUUGUUUAGUUAGUUGGUGGGGUAAAGGCCUACCAAGACAAUGAUGCAUAGCCGAGUUGAGAGACGGGUAGGCCACAUUGGGACUGAGACACCGCCCAAACUCCUACGGGAGGCUGCAGUAGGGAAUCUUCCACAAUGGGCGAAAGCCUGAUGGAGCAAGGCCGCGUGUGUGAUGAAGGCUUUCGGGUCGUAAAGCACUGUUGUAUGGGAAGAACAGCUAGAAUAGGAAAUGAUUUUAGUUUGACGGUACCAUACCAGAAAGGGACGGCUAAAUACGUG